GACUUCGGUCUGGCGGCGAGUGGCGAACGGGUGAGUAAUGUAUCGGAACGUGCCUAGUAGCGGGGGAUAACUACUCGAAAGAGUAGCUAAUACCGCAUACGCCCUACGGGGGAAAGGGGGGGAUCGCAAGACCUCUCACUAUUAGAGCGGCCGAUAUCGGAUUAGCUAGUUGGUGAGGUAAAGGCUCACCAAGGCGACGAUCCGUAGCUGGUUUGAGAGGACGACCAGCCACACUGGGACUGAGACACGGCCCAGACUCCUACGGGAGGCAGCAGUGGGGAAUUUUGGACAAUGGGGGAAACCCUGAUCCAGCCAUUCCGGGUGUGCGAUGAAGGCCUUCGGGUUGUAAAGCACUUUUGGCAGGAAAGAAAUCGCACCAAUUAAUACUUGGUGUGGAUGACGGUACCUGCAGAAUAAGCACCGGCUAACUACGUGCCAGCAGCCGCGGUAAUACGUAGGGUGCAAGCGUUAAUCGGAAUUACUGGGCGUAAAGCGUGCGCAGGCGGUUCGGAAAGAGAGGUGUGAAAUCCCAGGGCUCAACCUUGGAACUGCACUUUUAACUACCGAGCUAGAGUAUGUCAGAGGGGGGUGGAAUUCCGCGUGUAGCAGUGAAAUGCGUAGAUAUGCGGAGGAACACCGAUGGCGAAGGCAGCCCCCUGGGAUAAUACUGACGCUCAUGCACGAAAGCGUGGGGAGCAAA
rnacentral:rRNA from 1 species